AUAGCGAUGAGCAGCUAUCUCACUUUUCACGAUUUUUCCAUACAUUUAAUGAAUCGUUCCUUAAAUGUCUCUUUCUACACAACGUCCUUUAUUAGUGUGUGUAUUAUAGUAUAAGCUGUCAUUCGAUCGCAAAUAAGCGUCUCUAAUCUCGGAUUCUGAAACGACGCGUAGCGCCAUUUUUUAUUGUGGUUAACCUUUAACCGCUGCUUUGAAAUUGAAUUUUCCGUCGCAAUUCGCUAUUUUGAUUUGAAGGCGGUUUUCAUUUAUUUAUUAUCUAAUUAUAGUGCUUUAUUGUGUGUGAAUGUUUUUGUAAACAGUAUAUUAUAAAAGCAAUCAUUUAGUGUUUACCAGUUUAAACGUGUAAUUGUUUUUUUCGUAUAGUUUGAUUUAUUUGAUAAUAUAAUGGUUUAUAAGUGCUCUGUUCCCGGGUGCAGUACUCGAGGCCGAGGUAUUAAAUAUUAUAGUGUGCCGUUCACAAAUAAAAAAAGGUGGGAAGAGUGGUUAAGUUUAUGUCCAUUCCUACAAAAUUAUCCUCCUACUCAACGCGAAAACAUUCGUUUUUGUCAUAAACAUUUUAUUCCCGAACAUAUAAAACAGAAUCUAAGAUUAACACCUAAUGCGAUUCCUUUAGUAAACUUAGGAAAUACAGAUAAAUAUAAAGUUACAAACCGAGAUUUGAUAUUAGAAAUUGAACCCACUAGUAGCAUUACUGAACCCUUUAUUUUUAAAGUAGUUAACCCUUCUGAACUUAAUCGACCCACUAUAGAGCAAAAUUGUUCUAUCAUACAAGAACAUCAAAGUUCUGAGCUGUCUAGCACGGUAUCAAUUCAUGCUUCAUUGAAUGAAGCAAAUAGUAGUACUCCAACUCAAUUUACUCCCAAUAUACCUCACAAUACGCAAUACCCAAUAUGUAUAACCCCUUCCACAUCAACCACCAUUGCUGUGUGUAAUGAGCACAAAUUAAAAGUCACAGCCUAGUUAAACGUAGAUUAACUAAUCGUAUUAGAUUAAAUCCCAAUGAAUGUACCCCUCGUAAACGAAUUUUACGCUCUUCAAUUCACAUUUUAAAGAAUAAAUUACGUCUCUUGCAAUCAAGGUAUAAAAAGUUAAAGACUAGAUUUGACCUUCAUGCACCAAAAACAAAGGUGUUCUUGAAAAAAUAUAACAUUUUGAGUACAUAUGGGAAAUUAUUAGUAGAUUCACAAUUACGUUUGACUGGUAAUUCAUUAAAAGGUCGCCGUUACACAGACUCAGAAAAAGUUUUUGCUUUAUCAUUAUAUAAGUUAAGCCCUAAGUGCUAUAGAUUUUUACGAAAACAUUUAGCAUUACCAUGUAAAUCCCGAAUUAAUUCUCUACUCAGCAAUAUUCCUUUGAGGCCUGGUAUUAAUGACUUUAUAUUUCAACAUUUGGCAGAUGCUGCCUUGGAUAAACCCGCAAUAGACAGGCAAUGCACAUUAAUGUUUGAUGAAAUGUCCAUUAAAAAACACUUAAAUUUUAAUUUCUUUACUGGGGUCAUUGAAGGUUUUGAAGAUAUAGGUUCUGGCAAACGCACAAACAAUGUGGCUGAUAAAGCUUUAGUUUUUAUGUUACGGGUUUGUUUUCUCCUUGGAAAAUUCCAAUUGCAUUUUAUUUUGCUCGAGAUGGGGUUAAAACAUUUGUUUUAAAAAUAUUAUUAAAGAAAUAGUAUUAGCAGUUUUUAAAUCUGGAUUCAUAGUAAGAGCUACAAUCAGUGACCAAGGUUCUGCCAAUGUUGCUGCUAUUAAGUCAUUAAUAUCAGAUUCUAAUGCUGAACUCCUACGUAGUAACAAAUAUACCAAUGACAUCUGUUAUAAAAUCGGCCCAAACCAACUGUACCAUAUCUAUGAUGUACCUCAUUUAUUGAAAUGUUUUCGCAAUAAUUUUCAUAAAAAACCUACUCAUUGGCAACCAAAGGGCAAAGUGGGAGUAUAUUGAGAGACUUUAUAAAGUGGAUGGUUUUGGUGGCAGAGCAAGAAGCACCAAACUUACUGAGAAGCACAUAAAUCCAACUUCAUAUGACAAAAUGAAGGAUCUUUAGGUCAUCAGCAAACAUGAAAGGUGUGGAAUGAUGCAAGCAAUUGAUAAUGUCAUUUAUGAACAUAUUAAAAAUAACAGUCCCAAAUGGGAGCCCUGUGGGCACCCCAGAAGCAAUAUGAUGGAAAUUGGAACUAAAACCAUUAAGAACCACAUGGUCAAAUUUGCAGCCCAAGUUUUUAGCCGGCAAGUGGCUACAUCACUAGAAAUCCAGAUGAAGUCUCUGCUAUCUCUCCAGGAUCAUGAUUACAUAAGUUUAAAUGAAGACAUUGGAAAUGGUUUGUUCACAGCAGAAAUUCUUCUUUUUAUAAAUAAUUUGUUUGAUAGUUUAAAUGGUUUUGGUCAUUAUGGGAAUAAGUUAAAACAUGCUCUUUCAUAUAAUUCGGAGCACAUUGCAUUCUGGAAUGAUGCUGUGAAAAGCUAGCUUCAAUGCGCUUUGACGCUUCCAAUGAAAGGGAAAGGAAGCCUUUAUCACUGAAGCAUUUUGAACAUAAUAUAAAAACAAUAAAACAUUUGUGGUCAGAUCUGCUGAGAAUUGAUGGUGUUAAAUUUUUAAGUCUUAGACGUCUUAAUCAAGAUCCGAUAGAAAACUUUUUUGGUCAAAUAAGGGCACAUGGUAAUUUUAGUACAAAUCCUAAUUGUACUCAUUUUGUAUCGGCUUUUAAAAUCUUGUUGAUUAACAACAUUACUACCGGUAAAUCUUUAUACACUAAUUGUUCUGAUGAUGAUGACAAAAUGUUGGGAACAUUAAAACAUUUAGUCAGCCACCAAAAAUAUGGUUCAUACACUGAUAGUCUUCAAUGUAAUGAAACUAACUUUAUAGAAAUUUCUAUACCUAACGAGAAUAUAUUCCAACAUAAGUCUGUACCAUAUAUUGCUGGUGCAGUUUGUCGUUUUGAUGUCCAAUUUGAACUGCAAAGAUUGUGAUAAUUGUACAAAAGCACUAUUAUCUCAGAGAGAGUCAUUUCACGAAUUAAUUAAUUUAAGAGAAUAUAGUUCCAAUGUAGAUAGGUUAUGUUAUCCUUCUAAUAAUUUUAGUCAAAUGGUCUGGCAGAGUAUUUACAUUAUUGACAAGAUGAUGCCAUUUCUUUGCAGUGUUUAUAUUUAUUCUGACUUAAUAAGUAAUUUAAUAAAAUAUAUUGACACUACUUGGUACAACUGUAAUAUUCACAAAACGGCUGUUAUUAAAGCUUUUGGUCCUACAUAGUUAGAAUGCAAGUUAAGCAGUGGUGUAUUAAUUUUAAUAAUAGAAUGAAUAAUAUUGAUUCAAGGCCUAAAGAUAUAGAAAUGGAAACUCUAAUCCGUGAGAAAGUCACAAAAGGAUUGAGUUAUAGAUCACAAAGAAGGCGUAGUUCCUAAUCUCACUUAAUUAAAGUUCUUCAUAGUAUUUUGUCCACAAUUAUUACGAUUUUUGCAAA